GAUGAACGCUGGCGGCGUGCCUAAUACAUGCAAGUCGAGCGAACAGAUGAGGAGCUUGCUCCUCUGACGUUAGCGGCGGACGGGUGAGUAACACGUGGAUAACCUACCUAUAAGACUGGGAUAACUUCGGGAAACCGGAGCUAAUACCGGAUAAUAUAUUGAACCGCAUGGUUCAAUAGUGAAAGACGGUUUUGCUGUCACUUAUGGAUGGAUCCGCGCCGCAUUAGCUAGUUGGUAGGGUAACGGCUUACCAAGGCAACGAUGCGUAGCCGACCUGAGAGGGUGAUCGGCCACACUGGAACUGAGACACGGUCCAGACUCCUACGGGAGGCAGCAGUAGGGAAUCUUCCGCAAUGGGCGAAAGCCUGACGGAGCAACGCCGCGUGAGUGAUGAAGGUCUUCGGAUCGUAAAACUCUGUUAUUAGGGAAGAACAAAUGUGUAAGUAACUAUGCACGUCUUGACGGUACCUAAUCAGAAAGCCACGGCUAACUACGUG
rnacentral:rRNA from 1 species